CGUGUAGGCGGUAUGGGACGUCGGUUGCUGAAAUCCCCCGGCUCAACCGGGAACUGGCACCGUAAACGCCCCGUCUCGAGGGACGUAGGGGUACCUGGAACUUCCGGUGGAGCGGUGAAAUGCGUUGAGAUCGGAAGGAACGCCCGUGGCGAAAGCGAGGUCCUGGACGUUUCUGACGCUGAGACGCGAAAGCUAGGGAGCGAACG
rnacentral:rRNA from 1 species